AGAGUUUGAUCCUGGCUCAGGAUGAACGCUAGCUACAGGCUUAACACAUGCAAGUCGAGGGGAAACGAUAUUGGAAGCUUGCUUCCGAUAGGCGUCGACCGGCGCACGGGUGAGUAACGCGUAUCCAACCUGCCCACCACUUGGGGAUAACCUUGCGAAAGUAAGACUAAUACCCAAUGAUAUCUCUAGAAGACAUCUGAAAGAGAUUAAAGAUUUAUCGGUGAUGGAUGGGGAUGCGUCUGAUUAGCUUGUUGGCGGGGUAACGGCCCACCAAGGCAACGAUCAGUAGGGGUUCUGAGAGGAAGGUCCCCCACAUUGGAACUGAGACACGGUCCAAACUCCUACGGGAGGCAGCAGUGAGGAAUAUUGGUCAAUGGACGAGAGUCUGAACCAGCCAAGUAGCGUGCAGGAAGACGGCCCUAUGGGUUGUAAACUGCUUUUAUAAGGGAAUAAAGUGAGAGUCGUGACUCUUUUUGCAUGUACCUUAUGAAUAAGGACCGGCUAAUUCCGUGCCAGCAGCCGCGGUAAUACGGAAGGUCCGGGCGUUAUCCGGAUUUAUUGGGUUUAAAGGGAGCGUAGGCCGGAGAUUAAGCGUGUUGUGAAAUGUAGACGCUCAACGUCUGCACUGCAGCGCGAACUGGUUUCCUUGAGUACGCACAAAGUGGGCGGAAUUCGUGGUGUAGCGGUGAAAUGCUUAGAUAUCACGAAGAACUCCGAUUGCGAAGGCAGCUCACUGGAGCGCAACUGACGCUGAAGCUCGAAAGUGCGGGUAUCGAACAGGAUUAGAUACCCUGGUAGUCCGCACGGUAAACGAUGGAUGCCCGCUGUUGGUCUGAAUAGGUCAGCGGCCAAGCGAAAGCAUUAAGCAUCCCACCUGGGGAGUACGCCGGCAACGGUGAAACUCAAAGGAAUUGACGGGGGCCCGCACAAGCGGAGGAACAUGUGGUUUAAUUCGAUGAUACGCGAGGAACCUUACCCGGGCUUGAAUUGCAGAGGAAGGAUUUGGAGACAAUGACGCCCUUCGGGGCCUCUGUGAAGGUGCUGCAUGGUUGUCGUCAGCUCGUGCCGUGAGGUGUCGGCUUAAGUGCCAUAACGAGCGCAACCCCUCUCCUUAGUUGCCAUCAGGUUAAGCUGGGCACUCUGGGGACACUGCCACCGUAAGGUGUGAGGAAGGUGGGGAUGACGUCAAAUCAGCACGGCCCUUACGUCCGGGGCUACACACGUGUUACAAUGGCAGGU
rnacentral:rRNA from 1 species